GAUGAAGAACGUAGCGAAAUGCGAUAAGUAAUGUGAAUUGCAGAAUUCAGUGAAUCAUCGAAUCUUUGAACGCACAUUGCGCCCAUUAGUAUUCUAGUGGGCAUGCCUGUUCGAGCGUCAUUUCAACCAUUAAGCCUAGCUUAGUAUUGGGAAUCGACUUUACUGUCGUUCCUCAAAUUCAACGGCGGAUUUAUAGCAAUCUCUGAACGUAGUAAUUUUUUUUCUCGUUUUUGAAAUACUAUAAACCUCAGCCGCUAAACCCCCAAUUUCUUAUGGUUGACCUCGGAUCAGGUAGGAAUACCCGCUGAACUUAAGCAUAUCAAUAAGCGGAGGA
rnacentral:misc_RNA from 1 species